UGAGAGUUGGUGGCAGUUGUGGCAGCAUUGGAAGAAUUUGCAAUAAAGAGAACAAUCACAGAACCUGUUCGUCACAACCUUUCAACGAACCGUUAAUGUGCUUGCACAAGCACAGGGUGUAGUGCUACCGCCAAGAUUUGAUGUGCUUUAGAUGCUUCGACAAGUUCUCACCCUGUCAUUAUGUGCUGUGUAGUUCCUGGCAAACAACUCUUACCAGAAACGGGAUCUGGACAGCAUUCCACAGUCCAACAAUUAUUUUCUGAAACAAUCAUAAGAAGAGGAAGAAAAGCCUCAAGCAUAAAGUACUUAAGUUGUUGGCACAAAUAAAGGGAAAGUUACAAAGAGAAAGAAGAUUGCACCUUUGAUGAGUCUAAAGUCUAAAUGUACAGUGCCUUGCGAAAGCACGCCCAAUUUUUCAGUUUUUGAUUUGUUAAAAAAGUUUGAAAUAUCCAAUAAAUGUCGUUCCACUUCAUGAUUGUGUCCCACUUGUUGUUGAUUCUUCACAAAAAACAUACAGUUUUAUAUCUUUAUGUUUGAAGCCUGAAAUGUGGCAAAA